GUGCUCUCUUUGGCAGCACAUAUACUAAAAUUGGAAUGAUACAGAGAAAAUUAGCAUGGCCCCUGUGCAAGGAUGACAUGCAAAUUCAUGAAGCAUUCCAUAUAUAU
ensembl:snRNA U6 U6 spliceosomal RNA